UACCCUCUCUGAGGCAGGCUCACGAGCCUGCCACAGCACAGGCGUCUCCUGUUAUGCAGAAGACGGAGGUUCCCUCCUCCUGCCAGGCAGCGGGAGGAGACCUAGAUCAAGGGGGGGAAUGGAGGCAGGUGCCUAUUCGGGGUGGUAGGCGAGCCCUCUCUCUGCCCACCUCACCUUCUCAUCUACCCUUAAACAAUCGAUAUGAAGGACUAGAACAAGACAGUCUGAAUGACAAAGUAGAUAAAAACCCGUCCCAGUUGGAGGAGGCACCUAAGACAAGGCGACCUACACAUCCCAUUGCCACAUCAUCCUUCAAAAAAGAAAAAAGGGCUAUUGUUAUGGGGGGCUCCCUUCUGAAAGGGACAGAGGGACCGAUAUGCCGACCAGACCCAACCCGCAGAGAAGUCUGUUGCCUCCCUGGGGCUCGGGUGAGAGACUUUGCCAAGAAAGUCAAGCGCCUGGUACGGCCCACUGACUGCUACCCGCUACUGGUCUUUCAGGCUGGUAGCGAUGAAGUAGCAACAAGAAGUCCGAAGGCAAUCAAAAGAGACUUUAGGGAUUUGGGGCGACUACUUAGAGGAUCAGGGGUGCAGGUUGUGUUUGCCUCUGUCCUUCCGACAGGGGGGAUCGAAGCUGAAAGGUGUGCUGUUCACAUAAACUCGUGGCUUCGAGACUGGUGUGACCGGCAGAACUUUGGGUUCUUUGAUCACGGGAAGGUCUAUGCUACACCGGGCCUGAAGGCACCGGAUGGGAUGCGCCUCUCUCGGAGUGGGGUAAGGAUCUUUGGUCAGGAGUUGGCAGGGCUGAUAGAUAGGGCUUUAAACUAGAGUCGAAGGAGGAAGGGGCUAAAACCAGGCACGCCGGUGAAGACCUAAGGGAUGGUACGCUAGAAUCAGAGGGGCUGUGUGCCAGUGAGGUCCUUCGGUUAGAUCCACAAGGUGCUGAGUGUAAGGAGACGCACCUGAAAUGCUUCUACACAAACGCACGCAGUAUGAGGAAUAAAAUGGAUGAGCUAGAAGUCCUGGCCCA
rnacentral:lncRNA from 1 species